rnacentral:sRNA from 1 species
GCUGGGUGCAGUGGCGCACACCUGUAAUCCCAAUGGCUCGAGAAGCUGAGACAGGAGGAUUGCAAGUUCAAAGCCAGCCUCAACAACUUAGCAAGGCCCUAAGCAACUCAGUGAGACCCUGUCUCUA